ensembl:snoRNA SNORA70 Small nucleolar RNA SNORA70
CUGCAGCCAACGAAGCAAGCUAUGCUCUCUCCCCAUAGGGGGUCUGGUGUGCAACAGUGGCCAACAGUGGCCUCCUCAGUAGUGUGUGCGGCCUGUUGCUUACAUGGGUUGCCUUACAGGACCUUGGCCACAGCC